rnacentral:rRNA from 1 species
GCCAUAUCAAUAAGCGGAGGAAAAGAAACCAACAGGGAUGCCCCUAGUAACGGCGAGUGAAGCGGGCAGAGCUCAAGCCGAAAAUCGGUGCUCCAUGCGGGGCCUCGAAUUGUAGUCUAACGACGCGACAUCAGUGGGGACCCGGGUAGAAAUCCUUUGGAACAGGGUAUCAGAGAGGGUGAGAAUCCCGUAUUUGACUCGGAGCUUCCCACGUACGAUGCGUGUUCAAAGAGUCGGGUUGCUUGGGAUUGCAGCUCAAAGUGGGUGGUAAACUCCAUCUAAAGCUAAAUAUCGACGAGAGACCGAUAGCAAACAAGUACCGUGAGGGAAAGAUGAAAAGAACUUUGAAAAGAGAGUUAAAAAGUACUUGAAAUUGUUAAGAGGGAAGCACUGGAAACCAGUCGAUUGCCUCUUCCGAUCUCGCUCGGAGGCACACUGCGGAGGUGGGUGUCGGUGCGACCGAAAGGCGCCCGUGCACUCCUCUACGGCGGUGUGUGUCCGGGUCUCAGUCGGGGGACGGUGUGUCAAAAUCAGUUUGUACCGGUUGCGAGAAAGCGAGCGGGAAGGUAGGGUGCCCGCAAGGGUGCCUGUUAUAGCCCACUCGUGCUAGCCCGGUUGCGGACUGAGGAAGCGAAUGCGCACCACUAGGUUCAGUCCUCUCGCUCCCGGCGUGUCAGCGGUUUGGGAGAGCAAAGCUCUGCCGGCUGCGAAGCGCGUCGCUGGGUGGGAGUGCACUAGAUGCGGCAUUGGGGAUUUUGACGAAAUGGUUUUCAUUGACCCGUCUUGAAACACGGACC